AUGUCCUGGAGCCAGGAGCCAGCAGGGAUGGGAAGUGCCCUCUGGAAGUGCAGGAACAGCUCCAGCCCCGGCGUGUGCGGCGGCGGCGACGAGGCCACGGGAAUUCUCUGGGGGCAGCACCAACCCAAGGAACCCCAGUCUAAACCAGUUCACAGAGAGUCCCCAAGAGACUCAACAUCAGCAAGACAGGUACACCCCCAAUACACCCCGGAUACACCCUGGAUACACCCCGGAUACACCCUGGGUACACCCUGGCACAGCUCCCCAGCCCCUCAGCUCUUUCCUGCACAUCAGAUUUGGGGGUUUCCAUUCCAUGGAGCCCCUCCCCCUGUGAACAGACACUACAAGGUCUCCUCAGCACCAGGGGCAUCCCCCCCUUGGCUGGUUGGGUUUGGGGGCCUGCGGUGUCCAAAGCACACAAAGACUCUCCUGUUUGGGUGGGUUUUCCUGGUCUGUGGUGUCCAAAGCACAGAAUUCCCAACAGUCACGCUCCCAAAUCAUGGAGCCACAGCCCCCACACGCCCUCUCAGAGCCUCCCCUUGCCCAGGGCUCUCCCUGGGCACCCAGGGCUGGGAGGGGAGGCAGGAACUGAACUUCACCUCCGGGAGAAGCAGCUGAGAAGGUUUUAUUUUAAAGCUGGGCUUGGCAAAGAGCAUGUGAGAGCUGAGGCUGCCUUGGGAGCACCCAAGGGACUGGGCACCUCUUCCACAGCCCUCUGGGCAGGAACUGGGGCUCUGCCACCCCCCAGAGUUCACCCAGCCAGGGGAACUGAACCACUGAGGAAAGGGGGCUCUUGGACCGGUACAAAUCCCACUGGAUGAGCACACGGUGGUGAAGUCCCCCAGGAGAUGGUUCAGUGCAGAGAUGUCACCUCAGGCAGCCCUGGCAGAGCUCCUGCCCCGGGCUGGGCAGGAGGGACAGGAAGGCACCUGGUGGCUGCAGGGACCAAGCCCAGGCCGGAGCACGACGGAGCCACAACGCGGUGUAACCGCGGAGUGACCGGCACGGGCCGUGCUCUGAGGGAUGCCACUGAGAAACCAGGGUUGUAAUCACAGCUCACUGGCUAAUAGGGGGGAAAAUGGUUCUGGGAUGCCACUGGAGAACAAAAAAGCCACUGGAAUUGUAUUUCCUUCAGAUAUGUUCUUUGGGAAUGUCCCUUCACCUUCCCCCAGCCGGUGCCCCAAGCCUUGCCCUGGCAAUGGGAUGUCUGACCCUUCUGGAACAGAUGCUGAGGGCAACACUCGGCUUUUGGGGGGAUUUUUUUUUUUUUUUAGUCAUUUUUUGUCAUUUUUUUAAUCUGUGCACUAUGGGUUUCCAUUCUGCUGCCCACCUGCAGCUCUCCAAGGAGAUGUCCUUGAUGAAACCUUGGGAUGAAACCUUGGGUUUCAUCCCAAGGGCAGCAAAGCCUUGGGACAGUCACAAAAGUUCUGUCAGGCUUUGCUGAGGACACAGUAUCCAAACAAACACCUGGGAUUUUGCCUGCCAUGACUGUUACAGCUCAAGAGAAGCAGGAAUUCUAUUUUCUGGGGGGGGGAAAUGUUGUCAGAAGAUGGGUGAAACUCCAGCUUUAUCCGCUGUGGGAUCACAUCUCCACAGCUCCACUCUCCCCACCCCUCUGCUCACAGGGGUUCCAGCUGUGCUCCCCUUCCCCACCCAACCCCCAGGGACUGCCCACGGGAGCUGGGACCUGGAGAGGCCCCUGCUGUGCCAAUGGAUGGCAGUGCUCCCAAGGCUGUUAUCCAUGGAUCCCAUCUCCCGUCACCUGAGGAGCCCCUUUCCCACAGCCCAACCAGAGACAAACGUGCUGUGAUCCAGGAACGGGCCACACUGGGGGCUUUAGGAGCCCAUCGUGCCCUCCCCCAGUGAGGUGGCCGUGCUGGUUCCCCUGGGAUGGUUUGCUGGUGCUCCUGGAGCUGCCCAGGAUCCCAGUCUGGCUCGCUGGGCUCCCAGGGGCUCCUUGCCCGGGUUUCUCCCAACAUCCCCCUGUGUGUGCACAAAAAUCCAUGGAAUAACACAAACACGGAUCUACAGACAGGUCAGUCCUACCAGGACAGACACCCUGUGGAUAUGGACAGAUUCCAAGCUCUGCACAGAGGGAGGAGGGACAGCGCUGAGCAGAACCUGGGCCGAGUCCUCAUCGCUUUGGACACGGAGCUGAGCAAGCCCAGGGGCUUAAAUGGAUAGGUGGAGUCAGGAAAUCCAUUUUCACAGCCAACAGAUCCUGCUCCAGCCCCGGGAGAUGGGAAGCUCAGACUCAGAAGGACAUUUUUUCCUGGUUUACCUAUAAAAUCAGCGGAGCCAGGUAAGGAACCCCCCCGACUCUGGAUCUGUUCCGAACUGCAAACCCCGACACACCAAGCAGGAGGAAUGUUUUGUGGAUCAGGAUCACCUCGUGGCUGGUGGGAAGGACAUUCCCAGGGAGUGAUGAGGUAAUUCUGAGCUCCAGUCCCAAACGAGGAGGGAUCAAAGCCACGGAGCUCGUGCAUCUCUGCAGGUCUGACCAACCACCGGUGACACACCUGAGCACAGACUGGGCACAGGCAAUCAAACUAAUCCACCAAGAGAAGGAGUCCCCGGUCCCCAACCUGUGCUCGGAGCUGCUCACAGGACAUGCCCGAGGAUAUUGUCAUUAAAGCUCUCCCUGGCGUUCAGAGACUCGAAGCAAGAGCUGAGGAAUGCCAAGUUUGGAACCCGCAGCGAAAGGCACAGACAGACACGUCCUCUCGGAGCCAUCCCGGGGUUAUUGCUGCCAGCAGCCCCGUGUCCCUGUCCAGGGGGAAUUGCUGCCCCCAAACCACAGCAUCCCGAGCACACCAGGCGGGGGGAGCUGAUGGUGACCCACACUGGUCACUCGGGUGAGCCCCGACCGGGACACGACCCAACGCAAAGAUCAUUUCUCUGACUGAGGAGGGGCAUGAAAACAGAUCGAAGCCAGAAGGAUGAGCAAACUGUGCCUGCUAUGGACAUUUCCCCCUCAGCUCCUGAUCCCAAAUGGAUCUGCUCAUAAUUGGUCACGGUGGGACCAACAAGAAGAGGCUGGAGGAGCCCCGUGGCCUCCCCGGGCCCAGAGCCCAGCCGUGGUGUCCAACAGACAAAUGAUCCCUCAGCUCUCACAGAUCAGUUCUGGGGGCUGCAAGAAUGCCCGGAGAGACCCUGAUUUUCAGGACAGCAGAACUCUAGCACCAAUCCUUGGAAAAUUAAGACUUGAAUGUGUCUCCAGCCAGGAACUCAGACCCGCUCAGCACUUGUGCCAGCCCUGGCUCAGAGUGGGUCGAUCCCCGCACACCAAGCAGCGGAACCACAGCACAGCGUGAGAUUUUCCCCUCCCCAGUGCAACAUAACUUGAAAUUAUUCCUUUUAAAUUACAAGGAGUGAGCGAAGACUUGCAGAAAGACCACGGUAGCACCUGCUUCCCGAGGAAUUGCAGCUGGAGAACCCCCAGCCCUGCCAGCAGCACACGAGUGGCCCACAGCCCCAGCACAGCCCCUGGGGCCCUCCAGUACCCCCAUUUCCUGGGAUUCCAGCAAGGUAAACCCCCCAUUUCCCCCCAGAGCAGAGCUGAGCAGCCUUGGGGCACACAGGGAUGAGCCGGUGCCGCAGGAACGGCGCCGCCGGACACCGACCCGGCCGGACACCCCGACCGGACCUGUGGGAACACCUCGUGCUCCUCACUCCCCUCCACACACGUUACCACAGGGAAGGAUGUCCCACCAGCACCACAGACAUCACAGCAAAAACAAAGGGGUUCUGAGGAAGCCCCAGGGCUGGAGCCGUGCUCGGAGCCGUGGGAGGAACUUUCACACCCCAGGGCAAAGCCCCUCCCUGUGCUCGGGUGAGAAUCUCCUGACAGCAGCUACUCGGCUCCCUCUGUGUCAAGCUCCUUGAGCUCACUCCCAAGGGAACGAUUUUCCAGGCCUUGGAUCACUAAGGAGGUGGCUCUGGACACCUGCCAGGUGGGUUCCAGCACAGCGGCGGGUCCAGCUCGGGGGCAGAGGAGCCCCCAGGCCCAGGUGACCCCACACCCUCACCUGUGUCACCUGUGUCACCCGUGUCCCAACAGCCCAGCGGUGCCACCAGCACAGCCUUCCCGGGAGCAGGUGCUCCAGGCCGGACAGAUCCCGUGUCCCAGCUCCAGGGGCUGCCCCUCACCUGGCCCUGCUCUGCCCCCACGGUGUGACCCCCAAAGCCCUCUCAGGGCAGGGACACCAGGGGUGCCCACCCGGAGCUGGGAGGGGCCGUGUCCCUCUCCAAUGUUGUCACAAGGUACAAAGUGCAAAAGUGUUGCUGUUCCUGCAUCCAUUAAAAAACUUUAAAAACAGAACAAAACAAACAGAAAAAGGAUUUCCAUAAUCAUUUGAAAAUACAUUAAGUCUCCAAAAAGCCACCAAAGCCCUGGUCACCUCUGUGUGCUCUGGGUCCUGCUGGGCAGCAGAGCCAUGGGCAGUGUCCUCUCCCCGACACACCUGGACCACACCCAGCAGGGACAUUGGCCAGGCUCGGACAGGAGAGGCCAAGUGCUGACCCAGCCCAAACGCUGCUCUGAACCACCAGUCUCCAUGGGAGAGCAGGGAGCCACCCCUGGAAUGCAGAGACACCUCACAGCACAUCACCCCUUGGCCUCUGGCUCGGGACACCACGGCCUUCCCUCCCACCCCAAACCUGCACCUCCAAGCCCUCCCUGCUCCGUCCCGUGGAAGUGUUUGCAUUUCUCCUCCUAUGAAAUGUUUCUGAUAAGGCUUUAUUGCUAUACAAAAGCGGUGCAAAGGCUGCCCGAGGACAGCUCCAUCAGGAACUUUGGUCACACGACUGCGGGACUCUUGUGCACUGUCCCCGUCCCGGCGUUAGACCUGCUACCUUUCCCAAGAGAAGCUGAAUACUGUGUGCAAUAACACUCGGAAAAUAGGACUUGAACCCCAAAUACAAAACAAAAACGAGGGAGACGGGGAAAGGGGACAACUCAAAUCAGGCAGAAGGCUUUGCUUGGGAAGAGCCCGUCAUUCCUGUGAGGACUAAACUGCUCAAUGCUACAUUUGGACAAUGCAAAGUGUCUCUCCGGACAGACUGUUGGUGUUGGAACUGCGUGUCUGGUCCUCAAUGCCAGCUCGCUCUCAUCAAUGCAGCAUUUAUUAAAAAAUAAAAUUAAAAUGGAAAAAAAAAUAAUAAGAAUU
ensembl:lncRNA